GAAAAGAAACCAACAGGGAUUGCCUCAGUAACGGCGAGUGAAGCGGCAAAAGCUCAAAUUUGAAAUCUGACACCCUUGGUGUUCGAGUUGUAAUUUGGAGAGGCAUCUUCUGGAGGGGCUCAGCCUAUGUGCCUUGGAACAGGACGUCAUAGAGGGUGAGAAUCCCGUACUUGGCUGGAUGUUCCCUCCUGUAUGUAGUGUCUUCUACGAGUCGAGUUGUUUGGGAAUGCAGCUCAAAAUGGGUGGUAAAUUUCAUCUAAAGCUAAAUAUUGGCGAGAGACCGAUAGCGCACAAGUAGAGUGAUCGAAAGAUGAAAAGCACUUUGAAAAUAGAGUCAAACAGUACGUGAAAUUGUUGAAAGGGAAGCGCUUAGGACCAGACCCGGAGUAUAGCAAACAAUCGCCCACCGGGGCGGUGCACUUGUUAUGGUUCGGGCCAGCAUGGGUUGGGACGGUGGGAUAAAGACUCGGGAAAUGUGACUCCUUCGUGGAGUGUUAUAGUCCCGGGUGGCAUGCCAUCAGUCCCGACUGUGGAACGCGCACCGGCACGGAUGCUGGCAUAAUGGUCUUCA
rnacentral:rRNA from 1 species